rnacentral:rRNA from 1 species
UACGGAGGAUCCAAGCGUUAUCCGGAUUCAUUGGGUUUAAAGGGUGCGUAGGCGGCUUAUUAAGUCAGCGGUGAAAGCCUGGAGCUUAACUCCAGAACUGCCAUUGAUACUGAUGAGCUUGAGUACACUUGAAGUGGGCGGAAUGUGUCGUGUAGCGGUGAAAUGCUUAGAUAUGACACAGAACACCGAUUGCGAAGGCAGCUCACUAAAUUGUAACUGACGCUGAGGCACGAAAGCGUGGGGAUCAGACAGG